GCCUUGAUAGCUCAGCUGGGUAGAGCGUGGUGCUGAUAAUGCCAGGGUUGCAGGUUCGAUCCCCGUAUGGGACA